GCUUACGGCCAUACCGUCCUGAAAACGCCUGAUCUGGUUUGAUCUUGGAAGCUAAGCAGAGUUGGGACUGGUUAGUAUUUGGAUGGGAGACCGCCUGGGAAUACCAAGGGCCUUUUGGG
rnacentral:rRNA from 1 species